rnacentral:tRNA from 1 species
CAAAGUGUAGCUUAAGUUAAAGCACCUAGUUUACACCUAGAAGAUUUCAUAUAAACUGACCACUUUGA